UACGUAGGGUGCAAGCGUUGUCCGGAAUUAUUGGGCGUAAAGAGCUCGUAGGCGGUUUUGUUGCGUCGGCUGUGAAAUCCCGAGGCUCAACCUCGGGUCUGCAGUCGAUACGAGCAAACUAGAGUGUUGCAGGGGAGACUGGGAAUUCCUGGUGUAGCGGUGAAAUGCGCAGAUAUCAGGGAGGGAAACACCCGGGUGGGCGGAAAGGGCGGGGUCUCU
rnacentral:rRNA from 1 species